rnacentral:lncRNA from 1 species
AUUGAGGCGUGUCUUCCCUGGUUCUGCGUCCGUGAAGCCUAGAGAUUCCCGAGCCUGGGUCACCCGGGCGGUGUCGCAUGUCGUCUGCGGGGAGGUUGGGGCUGCUCGCGCGAGGCGCUCUGGGUCUCAUUUCCGAGGCCGAAAAUGCUGGCUCCAAAGUGGUGCCCUGGGAGAUGAGGGCGACUCGCAGAUUCCACCCUAUUCUCUGAAUGGGCUUCGAGUCUCCAUGGUAACGGCCCCUCCCAGUUCCCCUGUGACUUCAUAGCUGCCCACGGGAGGGGAGAAAGCUGAUGUGAAGGGGCUGUGGGUUCUCAGCCAAGCUCUGUCUUUGAGGCCACCUACCCUAUACCACUCGUCCCGGAAAGGCUUCUUCUUUAGGCAUUGAAGACUGUUCCUUUCUGGGUGAAGGAGAAUCACGUAGCAAUUGGGAGCAAGAUGCAUCCAUGUAACCCAGUACUGGAGGUCAAGAUGGAGACAAUCUCCACAGCCACCAUGGCCUUUCCCUGAGUGCUACUAUAACUCAGGAGGAAAGCCACCCAGAUACUGCAGAACACCAACAUGCUGAAGGCAAACCAAAGAGAAGAAAGACUUUGUGCUUGAGAGUUGAAAAUGAGACCACCUUGCCAUGUCAAUUCAGGUCUCUUAAAGUCUUCCCUUGCAGGAGAAGAGGGAAGUGAAAAGAUCUUCUUGUGAACAGGGUCUGGUGUGGACCUCCAGCAAACUCCAACAGAUUAAUUCAUUGACAGAAUGGGAUUGUCUUGUGAAAGGGAAAUAUCUUGGAUCCCUU